GCAUAACGCGAAGAACCUUACCAAGGCUUGACAUGCAUCACUAAGCGCGUGAAAGCGCGUGACCCUUCGGGGGAUUUGCAUAGGUGCUGCAUGGCCGUCGUCAGCUCGUGUCGUGAGAUGUUGGGUUAAGUCCCGCAACGAGCGCAACCCUUGUGACUAGUUGCCAGCACGUUACGGUGGGAACUCUAGUCAGACUGCCCAGAUCAACUGGGGAGGAAGGUGGGGACGACGUCAGGUCAGUAUGGCCCUUACGCCUUGGGCUGCACACGUACUACAAUGCCCAGCACAAUGAGAACCGAGACCGCGAGGUGGAGGAAAUCUAAAAAACUGGGCCCAGUUCGGAUUGGAGGCUGCAACUCGCCUCCAUGAAGUUGGAAUCGCUAGUAAUGGCGCAUCAUCUACGGCGCCGUGAAUACGUUCCCGGGUCUUGUACACACCG
rnacentral:rRNA from 1 species